UGUUGGUGAUGCAGACAAUCUCUGGGAAGAGACUUGAAUCUCUCCCAUGCAUGAUAGAGAUUCUCGUCUUUCUUUUAUUUGAAACUCAGGAUCUCAUUCCUCAAUCU
rfam:Capsicum annuum cultivar Zunla-1 chromosome 2, whole genome shotgun sequence